GACGAACGCUGGCGGCGUGCUUAACACAUGCAAGUCGAACGGUGAAGCGCUUUCCUUUUUGGUUGGUGUGGAUGAGUGGCGAACGGGUGAGUAACACGUGAGUAACCUGCCCCCUUCUUCUGGAUAACCGCAUGAAAGUGUGGCUAAUACAGGAUAUUCUGCGCCUGCUGCUUGGUGGGUGUGGGAAAGAUUGUGCCUUUGGGUGUUUUCGGUGGGGGAUGGGCUCGCGGCCUAUCAGCUUGUUGGUGGGGUGAUGGCCUACCAAGGCGGUGACGGGUAGCCGGCCUGAGAGGGUGGACGGUCACACUGGGACUGAGACACGGCCCAGACUGCUACGGGAGGCAGCAGUGGGGAAUAUUGCACAAUGGGCGCAAGCCUGAUGCAGCGACGCCGCGUGAGGGAUGGAGGCCUUCGGGCUGUGAACCUCUUUCGCCAGUGAAGCAGGCCUGCUCCUUGUGGGUGGGUUGACGGUAGCUGGAUAAGAAGCGCCGGCUAACUACGUG
rnacentral:rRNA from 1 species